UGAUGAUAAGGUUCAUGCAAAAGACACCUUAAGGCAGCGAAUCAGACAAACAGAACACUGUACCAACACCGACAACAUUGAUAUAUAAAGUUCGGAUUCCCUGAUGCUGUUCUUCAUUGUGGCUUUUGGGCAUUGGAGAUAUUCUCUUUCUCUUUUAAGAUAUUUUCACUGUAAGUGAACGUGAGGGUCUCACAGUACAGAUUUCUGAAGCCUCGACA
rnacentral:misc_RNA from 1 species